ACCUAGAAGCUUUAGCCUACUCUGUCACGAAUGGUUUUCUUACAAAUGUGUCUUUUCUCAUUCAGGGGCCUCAAAGAAUGAGUACUGGCUUGGUAUAGGUCUGUUUCUAUUUGUGAAAAAGUAAGCUCCUAGCUGAGAGCCAGCAAGAAAGUAGAGACCUCAGUCUUACAUCCACCAGGAUCUGGAUUCUGCCAACAUCCUGAGUGAGCCUAAAAGAGGACCCUGAACUCCAGAUGAGACUGCAGUACUGGCUGACACCUUGAUUUCUGCCUGGGGAGACUCCAGGAAGAGGACUUAG
rnacentral:lncRNA from 1 species